rnacentral:rRNA from 1 species
AACCGAGAACUCCUACGGGAGGCAGCAGUGGGGAAUUUUGGACAAUGGGCGCAAGCCUGAUCCAGCAAUGCCGCGUGAGUGAAGAAGGCCUUCGGGUUGUAAAGCUCUUUUGUCAGGGAAGAAACGGUGGGAGCUAAUAUCUCCUGCUAAUGACGGUACCUGAAGAAUAAGCACCGGCUAACUACGUGCCAGCAGCCGCGGUAAUACGUAGGGUGCAAGCGUUAAUCGGAAUUACUGGGCGUAAAGCGUGCGCAGGCGGUUUUGUAAGUCUGAUGUGAAAUCCCCGGGCUCAACCUGGGAAUUGCAUUGGAGACUGCAAGGCUAGAAUCUGGCAGAGGGGGGUAGAAUUCCACGUGUAGCAGUGAAAUGCGUAGAUAUGUGGAGGAACACCGAUGGCGAAGGCAGCCCCCUGGGUCAAGAUUGACGCUCAUGCACGAAAGCGUGGGGAGCAAACAGGAUUAGAUACCCUAGUAGUCCGACUGAGA